rnacentral:sRNA from 1 species
GGCAGCGAGUCGGGGCCUGAGCGUGAAGAGCAUGCCCUAGUGAGCGGGCUCCUCUGGGGGAGCCCAGCGCGCUCCGGGCGCCGGCCGGUUUGGGGGUGUCUCCUCCCGGGGCGCCAUGGCGGCGCUGGCCAGUAGCCUGAUCCGGCAGAAGCGAGAGGUCCGCGAGCCCGGGGGCAGCCGGCCGGUGUCGGCGCAGCGGCGCGUGUGUCCCCGCGGCACCAAGUCCCUUUGCCAGAAGCAGCUCCUCAUCCUGCUGUCCAAGGUGCGACUGUGCGGGGGGCGGCCCGCGCUGCCGGACCGCGGCCCGGGUGAGUGCGGCUGGGGCGGGGUCUCCCGGCCAGAGGUUUCUCUGCCUGGGAGAUUGAGGCCAGGGACUCUGAAGAAUAGGGCCCGGCUGAGGGGCUCCCCGAAAGUGGAAGGGGGUGGGCCAGGACGACAAAGUCCCUGCCAGACUCUGCCUCCGUUUCCCUUCUCUUUUGUCCAUAACCCGGAGACUCCUUAUUUUCGAGGUCAAGGGGAAGGCUUGAGGGGCUGUCUGGCGCCCCGAAAGCCUCGCAGUUCCUGCUCGUCCCCCCUUCCCAACACAGCAGUCCCCACCCCCAUCGUCCUCCGCCUACGUGCCGGUUCUCGCGAUUCUUUCAAUCUGGAGCGGAGGGGCCUGGGGGUUUCCAGAUGCCUGGGUCACCCCAAGGAUUUCUGCAGCUCCAGCCGCACGCCCCCCCCCAGCCCCCGCCCGCCCCGGUUCUCCCGCUCCUCCACCCCUGGGCUCGAUUCCUCCUGGUCGAGCUCUCCUGGCUCCGAGCCAACUCCCCAGCUCUCCCUCGGGUGUCCUUGCAGCUACCUCGCCAGCCAGCCCUCUAUGCGCCCUCCUCCAGUGACCUGCGCUUCAAGAACGGAGCUAGGCACCCCCUCCCAUAACCCCCGCGCCACUCCGAAAUCGGGUCCCGUAGGCUCAGGGGACCCUACGCUGGGAGGAACUCAGACGCAGUUCACGGCUAGAGAUGGGCGCCGACUCUUGGGGGUCGUACCACCUACAAGGGGGGACAGGGAAGUCGGCAGAGAGCAAGCGAUGGGGGAGGAGAGUUGUGAGAGUUAGAAUGUGGUCCUCGUCCAUGUACGACAGUCAGGGAGUCCCUCUGGCCCUGCUCCCGCCCGCUCCCAGCUCCCCUAAGGGUAGCCCCCUCGAGCCCUCCUCCCCGCGCCACCGGCUGCCCAUAGUGGUACAAUCCGCAGCCCACCCUCUGAGUGGGACCGGGCCCCCACGUGACUCAGCCUGCCUCUCCAUCUCCUCAGCUCCCACCCCCCAUAUCCUUGGUAAGGUCCCCCUUACCCCAGGCGGGUUACCUGGCCGAAGGGGAGAGGCUGAGCCUCAGGGAGAACUGGGCCCCCGCGAGCCAGCAGACAGACAGACAGACAGACAGACAGACAGAUGGGUCAGUGUCAGACAGGCCGGCGCUGGGCCAAGGCAAGGCUCUCGUCAAGCUAGCGGCAGCCGCAGCAGGUGCUGAGUCAGCGUCAAGCCCAGUCCCACCCCCACUCCUGAGGGAGAGCCCCUACCCUGUGGUCAAUUUGCUGCUGCCAAGGUCCCCCACCUUCGCAAACACGCUGCCCCUUCAGUACCCCUGCUGGUCUCCCUCUGUCCCUGCCUUUUGAUAUAUCUCUCCCCUCCCUCCUCCCCCACUCCUCCCCCCUUCUGGUUGAGCUGUAGGGUAGGAAUUAAGCCAUUUAAAUAAAUUUCAAUAAAUUACACUGAAAGCUCCUGGUUAUAGGAAACAGAAGGGACCCACACCAGCUUUCCCAGGAGUGAAAGAGAGGUGGGAGAGAGCGUGCUUGGAGGAUAAGAGAGCUGGGGCCCUGGGACCCUCUUCCUUCCUUUCAUUCUCCUUUCUUCCCUCUGAUCCUGCCAAGUGUAGGAAUGUUUCUGGGAACAGAGAUGUCAUUUUCAAAGAUGAAUGUCUCUCUCUCCAGAGCCUCAGCUCAAAGGCAUCGUCACCAAACUGUUCUGCCGCCAGGGUUUCUACCUCCAGGCGAAUCCCGACGGAAGCAUCCAGGGCACCCCAGAGGAUACCAGCUCCUUCACCCACUUCAACCUGAUCCCUGUGGGCCUCCGUGUGGUCACCAUCCAGAGCGCCAAGCUGGGUCACUACAUGGCCAUGAAUGCUGAGGGACUGCUCUACAGUUCGCCGCAUUUCACAGCUGAGUGUCGCUUUAAGGAGUGUGUCUUUGAGAAUUACUACGUCCUGUACGCCUCUGCUCUCUACCGCCAGCGUCGUUCUGGCCGGGCCUGGUACCUUGGCCUGGACAAGGAGGGCCAGAUCAUGAAGGGAAACCGAGUUAAGAAGACCAAGGCAGCUGCCCACUUUCUGCCCAAGCUCCUGGAGGGUGGGUAUAGACUCAAGAAAAUGUGGGCCACAGGAGAGGGUAUUGACCUUGAUACGGACAUUUAGCGGCAGACAGCUCAGGCUACAAGUGAUAAGAGGACCCUUUAUGACAGAUCAAGCCAGGAAGGCUUUGCCCUUUGGGGGUUUGGGUGCUGUCCUCCUGUGGGGUUGGGGUUCUGGGAGGGUGAAUGUACGGGAAGGGAGCCCUUUCGGAGCACUGGUUCUGCCUGGGUCCCUCUGUGCCUAACUCUCCUUCCCUGCUCCUCUCUUUCUCCCCUUCACAGUGGCCAUGUACCGGGAGCCUUCUCUCCACAGUGUCCCCGAGGCCUCCCCUUCCAGUCCCCCUGCCCCCUGAAAUGUAGUCCCUGGACUGGAGGUUCCCUGCACUCCCAGUGAGCCAGCCACCACCACAACCUGUCUCCCAGUCCUGCUCUCACCCCUGCUGCCAUACACAUGCCCUGAGCAGCCAGGUCCCACCAGGUGCUCUACCCUGAGGGAGCCUAGGGGCUGGCUGUAACUUCCGAGGCUGCUGAGACCCUUAGAUCCUUGGGCCUAGGAGGCAGUCAGAGAGGGGGAUGUCUGAAGAUGGUCCUGGCUGGUCACUUCUUUCUUUCCACACUCACACAACCCCAUGCCUUUUCCUGAGAUGGCGCUGGGAGUUCCCACAUGGACAGCCAGGACAUAAACACUUCCCACCCCGGCUCAGCAAGUUCCUGGAGUCCUGUGCCCCAUUUCAUUGCCACUGAGCCAUUUCUAGAUUCACUGGAGCUCAGGAUUCAUGUGUCCUUCUUUCCCUACUCUACCUUCUACCUUGGUCUGGACACAUUCUGGAACACUGGACACCCUAGCCAGGGCCACUUCUGCACUAGGGCUCUGUGCUGGAACCCAGGCAUGCCGCCAGCCUUUGCUCUGGAUCCAUCAGGCUUCUGUCCUUGACUCAGAUGGACCCCUGGUUUCCAAGUAGAAAGAGGCUAGAUUUGGGCCUUGUCUAGCUGUUGGCUUUGGCCUGAACUGGAACCAGUCUCAGAUGACCACGGGUUUAACCUUCUUAUCCCAGAGACACCCAAUUCUAGAGCUUUAUGGAGCCAUACUUCCCCCUGAAUCCUAGCUCUAGGACAUAGAUCAUGACUGUCAGCCCUUUUACCCAGGAUGGAGCUGGGGCCUGUAUAGCCAUAUUAUUGCUCUAAGUAAGUUCUAGCCCCACCCUCCCACCUUCUUGAGUGAUACCUAUUACGGAUGAGUUCUGGAAAAGACCCAGCUAUGAUUCAUAAAAACAGUUCUGGAUGAAUCAAGAACCAUUUCUUGUUUUUCCUAGAUAAUUCUCUAAAAAUAUGAUUCUUCCAUAUAGAAUGCUAAGCUUAUUUUUACAUGCAGUUUCUAGCUCCUUCAACCCAGCUGAGGUCGUGCCAGGGAGACAGAGUCUGGAGAAGGGCAGAGGAAUUUUGGAAGGAUCCCUGGCUCAUAGUAGGGAAGCUGGGCUGGGGGAGGGGUCAAAAUUAUGGCAUGAUUGAACCUGCAUCUGUGUUGGGUGGACAUGAAUACUUAGCUACCUCAGCAGGAAUUCCUUCCAGGUCCCCUUUAAAGCUGAGGUCCUUAGAGUAAUAUGUCCUGAAUAAAAAGGACAAAUGGAUACAGCCUUGACCCUCCCAGUGAGGAGACCCCAAUUCAGCAAUAAGUCUCACCCUUCUCCCCUACAGGUCAGGCCAAGGAGGGUGAAGGCCUCUUGCACUCCAGACCUCAUACGCCCCAACAGCUUCUAAUUGGAUAGAACUUGCUUUACCUUACAGCUUACAACCUCAGCUGGGUUUUAGGUACCCAAAAAGGGCCUGUCUAGAUUUUUUCAGAAAAACGUGGAGCGCUAGGGGCAGCCUGGAAAAGACUGGGAACCUGCUAGUGAACUAGGAGGGAGACUUCCAUAGCCUCAGACUUGGAUAGGGUAGGCUGAGGGGGCCCUAAGGGAGGGACUAAGGCUCCAAGGCAGGUCACUUUUCCUUAGGCUGUUCUACUUCUGGCUUGUUGCAGGAGGAGUAGAUGCCCCCCCACCCACACAAACCCCGCUCAGGCUCCACCCAACUCCUGGCACUGCUCCCAGGGGAUCGGGUCUCCACUCCAGCUUUCUCAAUUAAAGACGAUUUAUACAACUGAAGUGCUGUCUGUCAUCUGUCGGUGGCGGGCUUGGCAGUUGCUCGAGGCAGGAUCAAGUCCCGGGGGCGGGGCGGGUGGGCUGGUGGCUGCCCCCCAGCAACAGGUGCACAUUCCCGGGCUCCUCGUCACUUCCCUUGUGCUGGCGGUCCCAGCGGCUCUCUGAGCGAAGUCACUGAGCAAGCCACCAGGCUAUGACCCCAGGGGCUCUGCUGAUGCUGCUGGGGGCGCUGGGGGCGCCGCUCGCCCCAGGUAAGUGUAGGCCUCCAAGGGGCAAUGACGGAGCCAGCGGUCGUGGCCAGGCACCAGGGCUGCACUUAGUCUCUCCUCCCCCAGGCGUCCGCGGCUCGGAGGCGGAGGGCCGACUCCGGGAGAAACUUUUCUCUGGCUAUGAUAGCUCCGUGCGGCCAGCGCGGGAGGUGGGAGACCGUGUCAGGGUCAGCGUUGGUCUCAUCCUGGCGCAACUCAUCAGCCUGGUGAGGGCGCGCGGGGGGUAGAGGUCAGGCCCGCCGACAGGCCGGGGGCGUGGCUUUAAGCAAGGCCGGACCGGGGACAGGCUGGGGGCGGGGCCUGGGACGAGACCAGGCUGAGAUGGACCAGCCUUUGGUGAAGAUUGGGUCGAAAUCAGACCAAUGGACAAGCUCUGGCCGUGGGUGGUGGACGGGCCUGGAGUAGAGCCGGGUGGGGUGAUGGACAGACCUGUGAUCGGACCUUAAAGUGGAGCUGGGGAUGAGGCAGGGGCUGGGGGACUGACCUCGAGGUAGGGCCACGUGGGUCCUGAGUGCCCAGGGUGGGGCGGAGCUUGGUGCUGAGGGGUCAAUAAAUGGCAGCGGGUGGAGGUUCGGGGCUGGGUGGAUUAUGAGCUGAAGGCAGGGCCCGGGACAGAGCUAGGCGGAGGGCUAGGCAGGGGCGGGUCUGGUAGGUUGAUAGGCUGGGAGCGUAGACGGCAGGAAGGGGUGUUUCUGAGAUAGAGGCAAGUCUUAAACUAACGCCGCUUCUGGGAGGUGGACUUGGAUCCAAGAGGGUGGGGCUC